AGGACGAACGCUGGCGGCGCGCUUAACGACAUGCAAGUCGAACGUGAAGCCCGGGCUUGCCCGGGUGGAAAGUGGCGAACGGGUGCGUAACACGUGAGCAACCUGCCCCGAAGACCGGGAUAACAGCGGGAAACCGCUGCUAAUACCGGAUGCCCUCAUCACACCGCAUGGCGAGAUGAGGAAAUGGAUUCCGCUUCGGGAUGGGCUCGCGGUCUAUCAGCUUGUUGGUGAGGUAACGGCUCACCAAGGCUACGACGGAUAGCUGGUCUGAGAGGAUGUCCAGCCACACUGGGACUGAGACACGGCCCAGACUCCUACGGGAGGCAGCAGUGGGGAAUCUUGCACAAUGGGCGAAAGCCUGAUGCAGCGACGCCGCGUGCGGGAUGACGGCCUUCGGGUUGUAACCGCUUUCAGCAGGGACGAUGAUGACGGUACCUGCAGAAGAAGCCCCGGCCAACUACGUGCCAGCAGCCGCGGUAA
rnacentral:rRNA from 1 species